rnacentral:rRNA from 1 species
UUACUGGGCGUAAAGAGCUCGUAGGUGGUUUGUCGCGUUGUUCGUGAAAUCUCACGGCUUAACUGUGAGCGUGCGGGCGAUACGGGCAGACUUGAGUACUGCAGGGGAGACUGGAAUUCCUGGUGUAGCGGUGGAAUGCGCAGAUAUCAGGAGGAACACCGGUGGCGAAGGCGGGUCUCUGGGCAGUAACUGACGCUGAGGAGCGAAAGCGUGGGGAGCGAACAGGAUUAGAUACCCUGGUAAUCCACGCCGUAAACGGUGGGUACUAGGUGUGGGUUUCCUUCCUUGGGAUCCGUGCCGUAGCUAACGCAUUAAGUACCCCGCCUGGGGAGUACGGCCGCAAGGCUAAAACUCAAAGAAAUUGACGGGGGCCCGCACAAGCGGCGGAGCAUGUGGAUUAAUUCGAUGCAACGCGAAGAACCUUACCUGGGUUUGACAUGCACAGGACGCCGGCAGAGAUGUCGGUUCCCUUGUGGCCUGUGUGCAGGUGGUGCAUGGCUGUCGUCAGCUCGUGUCGUGAGAUGUUGGGUUAAGUCCCGCAACGAGCGCAACCCUUGUCUCAUGUUGCCAGCGGGUAAUGCCGGGGACUCGUGAGAGACUGCCGGGGUCAACUCGGAGGAAGGUGGGGAUGACGUCAAGUCAUCAUGCCCCUUAUGUCCAGGGCUUCACACAUGCUACAAUGGCCGGUACAAAGGGCUGCGAUGCCGCGAGGUUAAGCGAAUCCUUUUAAAGCCGGUCUCAGUUCGGAUCGGGGUCUGCAACUCGACCCCGUGAAGUCGGAGUCGCUAGUAAUCGCAGAUCAGCAACGCUGCGGUG